rnacentral:lncRNA from 1 species
CAGCACUCUUGGUGACUGAUGAAGGACAGUCUUCUAAAUUGCAGAAGAAUUAGAUCCAGCUCUAAGGAUCGAUUUCUUGACCUCAGAGGUAUCUAAUCCUCAGAUGUCUUUGUUCCCGUAAUCACUGGUUUGGAUGUUUUGCUUGUGGAUUUGCAAAGGGAGGUUUCUGCUGAUGUCUGCUCGAAGGGGGAUGUGCACUUCGACUAAUGGAAGUCACCUCAGGAUGAUAAGAGUUCAGAUCGCCGGGAGUUACAGUCUUUGUGCAACGAUUUCCUACCUCACUCCAUCAAAGGCUUGCAAGCACUGUGCUGAAUACACCACCGCUCAAAAAGAAAACCGGGAUAAAGAGUAACCCUGAAGGUAAGAGAUGACGAAGAGACGCUGUCUUUUGUGGGGAAUGUGAUGCAGAUCUCGCACCGUGUGGUGAUGGGGGCAGAGACAUUGAGAGGACGGUGUGUUUCAGUCACGUCAGGGCUCUGUCUCAUUGCAGGAGUACAGCACACAUGGGAAUCAUUCUAAUUCUUUAUAAAAAAAAUAAAUAUAAGGAAACCCAGAGAGAGG